AGCUGGGUAGCUCAGUCAGAAGAGCACGAGACUCUCAAUCUCAGGGCCAUGGGUUCAAGUCCUGCACCAGGCA